rnacentral:rRNA from 1 species
AACGAACGCUGGCGGCAGGCCUAACACAUGCAAGUCGAGCGAGGACUUCGGUUCUAGCGGCGGACGGGUGAGUAACGCGUGGGAAUGUGCCCUUCUCUACGGAAUAGCCCUGGGAAACUGGGAGUAAUACCGUAUACGCCCUAUUGGGGAAAGAUUUAUCGGAGGAGGAUCAGCCCGCGUUGGAUUAGGUAGUUGGUGGGGUAAUGGCCUACCAAGCCGACGAUCCAUAGCUGGUUUGAGAGGAUGAUCAGCCACACUGGGACUGAGACACGGCCCAGACUACUACGGGAGGCAGCAGUGGGGAAUCUUAGACAAUGGGGGCAACCCUGAUCUAGCCAUGCCGCGUGAGUGAUGAAGGCCUUAGGGUUGUAAAGCUCUUUCAGCUGGGAAGAUAAUGACGGUACCAGCAGAAGAAGCCCCGGCUAACUCCGUG